GUGCAGUAAUUGUUUUCAAGAUGGCCAAUGACGAGGAUUCACUAGAGGAUCAAAACCCUAAAUCUUGGACUGUUAGCAACGCUAGUAUCAUUGACAAGAAAGAAGAAGCAUCCAGCAAGUUCUCGGUCCAGGAUCAUCAACCACAAAGAGCAGUAGUCAACUUCUUAAAGGAUGAAAGUACUACCAAAACGAUCCAUGAGCAAUGGCAAGAAAAAGCUAAGGUUGUCUCGUAGCCUAUAAGCCGGUGUUAUCCCGAAUGAGCUUUCUUAUCCCAAACCCUCCCAUAUGUCUCUUGUUAAAUCAUUUUCUGGCUACUCCUCGUGUCAGAAUUAACGUUCUUGACCUUGUAAGGCCUUUUCUUGACCUUGUAAGGCCCUCCCCUAACGUUUCUCGUGCAUCCUGGUGUCUCCAACCUCACACUUCCUUCCCCCUUCUAUCCCUCCUGAGCUAUUCCCUAUUUUGUACGUCUACAAUCUAGAUGAGAUAUAAUAUUGAAAUAAAAGUCUGUGGCAAAUUAGGUUUUUA